GCAGGCGUAGUUCAGUAGCAGAACAGCCUUCUUCCAGAAGGACGACGUACGUGCAAUUCGUGCCGCCUGCUCCA
rnacentral:tRNA from 1 species